rfam:Schistosoma mansoni, Puerto Rico, WGS project CABG01000000 data, contig: 0186
AUCCGACUGACGAGUCCCAAAUAGCACGAGACGCGCGUCCUGGCAU